AGUUAUUAUUGUAAGGAAAAUUGAUGUUUGGGAGAGGGCCAAAAUUAUAAAUAAUAAUAGUUAUGAUGCUUUAAGCUUUUGCUACAUGUCUGGCAAUGAGCUAGGCCCUUUGCGUACAUGCACAUAUCUUACAAGGUGGGUAUUAUCCUCAUUAUACAGUUGCAAAAACAGGUUGUUAUUUUACCUAGUCACACAACUUGUAAAAAUUGUUCCCCUUUCUACUACUAUAGUUUCUACAUUGAGUUACUAGUGUUCUUUCCUCUGUAGUUUACCCUUUAACCAGAAUACUGUCUUAUUCACUUGGCUUUGGACAGCUUAAUUCAUCUCAGAUUGCAUUUAAGAAACUGGGAAGAAGAAACUUCUCCAAACAGCCUUUCCUGCAAGCUCCUCAGAGUAAAAUUUGCUCCAAAACUAAUUCAGGGGGCAUCUGCAUAGAGUUGCUGGCCAGCAAUACUUGAGCAAGGAGAGUCAAAGAUAACCACUCUUGGAGGGAAUAAAUGGGAUCUUCAUCUCUAGGUCCCCAAAGCCUUACACAAGCUGAUGGACUCGGCCUGCUGGGGCCCUGGUUUCUCCAUAACCUCCCAGGAUGCCUCUGAAAAAUCAGCUUAGAAAUCCCUGAGGAUGAGAACUCUGUCCUCCUGUUGGCACAUUCUGGUUUUUCUAAAGACAAAGUAUGAGCUAAUAUUCUGACUUUUAAAAAAGACGAUGAGCAGA